GACGAACGCUGGCGGCGUGCCUAAUACAUGCAAGUCGAACGCUGAAGGAGGAGCUUGCUUCUCUGGAUGAGUUGCGAACGGGUGAGUAACGCGUAGGUAACCUGCCUGGUAGCGGGGGAUAACUAUUGGAAACGAUAGCUAAUACCGCAUAAGAGUAGAUGUCGCAUGACAUUUUCUUAAAAGGUGCAAUUGCAUCACUACCAGAUGGACCUGCGUUGUAUUAGCUAGUUGGUGAGGUAACGGCUCACCAAGGCAACGAUACAUAGCCGACCUGAGAGGGGGAUCGGCCACACUGGGACUGAGACACGGCCCAGAAUCCUACGGGAGGCAGCAGUAGGGGAUCUUCGGCAAUGGACGGAAGUCUGACCGAGAAACGCCGCGUGAGUGCAGAAGGGUGUCGGAUCGUAAAGCUCUGUUGUAAGAGAAGAACGAGUGUGAGAGUGGAAAGUUCACACUGUGACGGUAUCUUACCAGAAAGGGACGGCUAACUACGUG
rnacentral:rRNA from 1 species